AUAAUUGCUUAAAAUAUGAGUUAUUUUUGUGUGGGCCUAGUUGGCAGCUCCAUUUCGUGACGUCCCACGAACCGUUUUUGUUUGUCGUUAAUUCGUGAAUCGUCUGCAUAGAAAUAUUAUUAGUAAAUAAUUAGAAACAAUUCAGUGCAAGAAGGAGCAGCUACACAAUCUUGAACGGACCCAACUAUAACAAACUAAAGAUAAAUUUGCGCUUGGCUCAAAAUCGUCUCGAGUUGCUCAAGAAAAAGAAAUCGGAGCUGGCACAAAAAUCGCGAAAGGAGAUCGCAGAUUCUUUCCACAGGCAAAACGGAUCGUGUGGAGCACAUCAUAAGGGAAGAUUACCUCGUGGAGGAUGGAAAUCAUUGAAAUGUGUUGGGAUCUGCAGCUGGCGUGCUUCGGACUCAUUCAGCAGAUCGCUGAGCCCGCGUCCAAUCUGGUAUGGAUGUGUCCCCGACUUCAAAGUGACAUUGCCGAGCUGAAAGUAAUCUUGGUCAUCUUUAUACACAAGUAUGGACCAUAAUUUGCACAGCAUUCACGCACUCAAGAACAACAACAUUGAAUUCGAGUCAGAUACACAGAUUGCCAAUAAACUGAAACCAUAACCACGCUCUAAGCUGCCGCCUAGUGAGCAGCCCAGCGCUCCGCCGCCAUCGAUGGAUCUGCCAACGCUGCCCGAUGUGCCAGGCAGUGGAAAGGAGGAGGAUGGUGACAGCUUAUCGAAGCUGUCGUGUCGCUUCGAGGAUCUCAAGAAACUCAAGUGAACAGAACGAUGUAUCUUGCU